GACGAACGCUGGCGGCGUGCUUAACACAUGCAAGUCGAACGGAAAGGCCUGUCCUUCCUUGUGUUGGACGGGUACUCGAGUGGCGAACGGGUGAGUAACACGUGAUUGAUCUGCCCCCAACUUGGGUAUAAGCCUGGGAAACUGGGUCUAAUUCCCGAUAGGACUGCAGGGUGGUGCCUGUGGUGGAAAACGAUGUUCUAGUGGUUGGGGAUGAGCUCGCGGCCUAUCAGCUUGUUGGUGGGGUAAUGGCCUACCAAGGCGGCGACGGGUAGCCGGCCUGGAGGGGUGACCGGCAAAAUGGGAACUGGGCAAGGGCCCGACGUCCACCGGGAGGCGGAAAUGGGGAAUAUGGCGCAAUGGCCGGAGCCCGGAGGCACGAAUGCGGGGUGGGGAUGACGGCCUUCGGGUUGUAAACUCCUUGCGACCGCGAGGAAGCCGCCUGGUUGGAAGGGUGGUGACGGUAGUGGUAGAAGAAGCACCGGCUAACUACGUG
rnacentral:rRNA from 1 species